GCACCAGAAAAAGAACAUAAUCAGUUGCUAGAUGUACCUGAUAAGGCACUUUUAAGAACCACCAGGAAACAAAAAGAUUUCACCAAUUAAUCAGGAUACAAAGGCACUUUUAACUUUUAAGGCUUGAUCUAGUUGGUUGCUUAGGGCCAUCCAUAAUACCAAAAGCUUCAAGAAUUAAGAGCUCUGCAUUUUAAACUUUCUCAACUUUAAGCCUACUUUUUAACAGGCACCUGAAAUUUUAAGCGAUAUGACAAACAAUUAACAAAUGAGCUUAAUUACUGUUACUGAUACACAUUUUAUAUGAUUAACGGUACAAUCAAAUAACCCCAAAUGCAACAAAAAUAUAAUAAAAUUGUCCUUUGGCACACCAUCUCAGAGUAUGCUGAUGAAUAACAUACCAGAGCUGCCUAUCAAAAAAAAAAAAAAUUACGCAUAGCGAGUUUCAGAGUGGAUCUUUUUUUCCUAAGCCAUUAGAAAACAGUUACUGCCCUAAAGAAAGUAAAGCACGA